rnacentral:rRNA from 1 species
UGGGGAAUAUUGCACAAUGGGGGAAACCCUGAUGCAGCGACGCCGCGUGAACGAAGAAGGUAUUCGUAUCGUAAAGUUCUGUCCUAUGGGAAGAUAAUGACAGUACCAUAGAAGAAAGCUCCGGCUAAAUACGUGCCAGCAGCCGCGGUAAUACGUAUGGAGCGAGCGUUGUCCGGAAUUAUUGGGCGUAAAGGGUACGCAGGCGGUUUAACAAGUCGAAUGUUAAAGAUCGGGGCUCAACCCCGCAAAGCAUUGGAAACUGAUAAACUUGAGUAGUGGAGAGGAAAGUGGAAUUCCUAGUGUAGUGGUGAAAUACGUAGAUAUUAGGAGGAAUACCAGUAGCGAAGGCGACUUUCUGGACACAAACUGACGCUGAGGUACGAAAGCGUGGGGAGCAAACAGG